UACGGAGGAUCCAAGCGUUAUCCGGAAUCAUUGGGUUUAAAGGGUCCGUAGGCGGUUUAAUAAGUCAGUGGUGAAAGCCCAUCGCUCAACGGUGGAACGGCCAUUGAUACUGUUAGACUUGAAUUAUUAGGAAGUAACUAGAAUAUGGUAGUGUAGCGGUGAAAUGCUUAGAGAUUACAUGGAAUACCAAUUGCGAAGGCAGGUUACUACUAAUGGAUUGACACUGAUGGACGAAAGCGUGGGUAGCGAACAGG
rnacentral:rRNA from 1 species